GACGAACGCUGGCGGCGUGCUUAACACAUGCAAGUCGAACGGAAAGGCCCUGCUUUUGUGGGGUGCUCGAGUGGCGAACGGGUGAGUAACACGUGAGUAACCUGCCCUUGACUUUGGGAUAACUUCAGGAAACUGGGGCUAAUACCGGAUAGGAGCUCCUGCUGCAUGGUGGGGGUUGGAAAGUUUCGGCGGUUGGGGAUGGACUCGCGGCUUAUCAGCUUGUUGGUGGGGGAGUGGCUUACCAAGGCUUUGACGGGUCGCCGGCCUGGGAGGGUGACCGGCCACAUUGGGACUGAGAUACGGCGCAGACUCGUACGGGAGGCAGCAGUGGGGAAUAUUGCACAAUGGGCGGAAGCCUGAUGCAGCAACGCCGCGUGCGGGAUGACGGCCUUCGGGUUGUAAACCGCUUUCGCCUGUGACGAAGCGUGAGUGACGGUAAUGGGUAAAGAAGCACCGGCUAACUACGUG
rnacentral:rRNA from 1 species